AAUGGAAAAGUUCAAUUUAGGGUUUAAAACCCUAAUGCUGACCAAAUGGAAAAGUUCAGUUUAGGGUUUAAAACCCUAAUGCUGACUAAAGGAAAAGUUCGGUUUAGGGUUUAAAACCCUAAUGCUGACUAAAGGAAAGAGUUCAGUUUAGGGUUUAAAACCCUAAUGCUGAUUGAAUGGAAAAGUUCUGUUUAAGGUUUAAAAACCCUAAUGCUGACUAAAGGAAAAGUUCAGUUUAGGGUUUAAAACCCUAAUGCUGACUAAAUGGAAAGAGUUCAGUUUAGGGUUUAAAACCCUAACGCUGACUGGCUGGGGACAAAGUUCGAGGAUACCAACUGACCUCUUUUUUUUGAAUUUUCUUGUUUUAGUAGAAGAUAAAAGGGAAUCUCUUGGAAACUUACCUUUCGAGUGAAUUUCUCAUUGCCAAACUGUUUCUUGUACUCAUGUGCCUUCUUCAUUGGGUGACACCUGCUUCUUGCACGGUUGUCUUGGAUUAUACCUGUUUCAACUUCUCGAACAAAGAACAAUUGUU
rnacentral:lncRNA from 1 species